rnacentral:misc_RNA from 1 species
AGGAAGUCUCUGAAUCCCGAACUAUGAAUUCCAACAUAACCCUUCUUUCCAGCUUCACCGUUGACUUUAGCUCCAACGGAAUCGGGAGCCUUCUCUUCCUCUUCCUCGUAGUCGAGGAGCUCUUCCUCGUAUUCGUUGUCCCUUGUUUCUCCCAUUUCUGCUAGCCUGCUAAGAACUGAACUUCAGAGUUAGGGUUGCGAUUACACAAAGUCUGCAAAGGAAAACUAAGUUAGCUGGAGAGAAAUUGUUAAGACCUGGGUUUCCAAAGAUCGAAGAGUGGGA